UGAAAUUGACAGGGUGAAGCCUAUUUCCUG
rnacentral:piRNA from 1 species